GUGAGAACUGAGGGAACAGAAGUAAGCUUGGUGAGCAGGACUGCCAGAACCCCCAGGGUGGGCUGAAGAAUUGCUUCCCCUUCUGAGCUCUGGAAGGUGGAUUCACCUGCAGACAUCUGAGCCAACACAGGAGUGGCCUUCCUCUUCAUCCUCAGGGCCUCAGAGAGGCAGUUUAUCUUUCUUGAAUUUGCCUUGUUCUUAGCAAGCCUACUUGAUUGCUUACUGCUUAUACUUGUCAGUUAUGUGGCUUUUGAGUUUUCUACUCUUGGAGAUAACGCUGGAGAGAACACUCUUAUCUACAGACUUGUGCGUGUUUAAGCUGGUGUAACUGUAGGAGGAAAUCCUAGUACAGAGUUCUGGGUCACGUUUCUUUCCAGGUUCGUUACAACAGUAUUAUUGCAGUGACAUCGGUAUACAUCUUGGUACAUCUGCAAUGUAGAAUACAUACCUUGGAGUUUAUUUCAGGGUAAAAGCACAUGGGUAUUUAAUAUUUUGAUAGACUUUAACAAGCUGAACUUGGUUUUAUUAGCUAAUUCUUCUGGAGUAUGUUUUCUCUCCAGCGUUUUAUUUUGAAACAUACUAGACCUGUUGAAAAGACUAAUUAAUUAAUAGUGUAAUAAGUGUUCAGAUGCCCCUGACCUGGUCCACAGAUUACUGUGUUUCUACAUGAAAGAGUUUGCUCUGGUUGCCAUAACAGAAUCUCACUGAGUGGGUGGCUCAAAUGAUAGACAUUUCUUUUAUUUCAGUUCUGAAAGGUCACAUCUGAGAUGAAAGAGCUGGUCAGCAGGUUUUGUUUCUUCUAAGGCCUCUCUCCUGGUCGUGCAUAUGGCUGCAUCUUGCCACAUCCUCACAUGAUUUUUUCUUGGUGUGCUCAUACAUCUGUGUUCUAGUUUCCUCCUCUCAUAAGGACAGCAGUUGUAUUGGAUCAGGGCCCAUCCACAUGACCUCAUUUUACCUUAAUGACUUCUUCAAAGGAGCUAUCUCCAAAUACGGUCACUAGCGGUCUAUGCCAUAGUAUCACAUUUGUUUCCCUUUGCAUAUCCAUCACGCUAAUAUAGCUUAAUUAUGAUGAUAAAUUUAUUAUAUAAUUACUUUUUAAUAGUUAUAAUGUACUUUAAUUAUGCCAUUUCUGGUGUAAUCUAUUUAUCAUAUAUGAUGUGUAAUUUCCCCCAUAAACAAUUGGAAGGAAAAUUACAGCCACUCAGAUGCUUAAGUAUGUAUUUUAUAGGAAUGAGAAUAUUUACCCCAGGUUUAAUGUUUUUUACUUUAUAAUUAUAAGAACAGAAGAACUGAUACACAUAAAGUGUCUCUGACCUUGACUGGAAGUUUUCCCUCCAGGCUAUUCAGUCCUGAGUCCCCGGCCCCUCAGUGAUCCUUGGCCUGCCUGUGAGAAGGAACCUCCAGCUUUCAGGAGUCUCUCAGGCCAGCAGAAGCUCUUGGCCUCAACUUUAGUUUCUUUGGCAUUGUUGAGGAUUUGAGUCUGUGAUGUAUCAAGGGCAUGGCAGACCUUCUUGAAAUUCUACCAGCUUCUGUAUCAACAUGACUCUGAACACCAGGCUUAUUAUUUAGGUCUUUUCACAGGAUUCCUUGCUCUGCCCAUUGUGGACUGGUCGUGUUUAUUCACGGUUUCUUGAUUUGAGUACUGUUUUUUCUCUCUUCUGUUACCCUCUUGCUGCUGCAUUCUCAUUGGCAGCUGGGGACUUCUCCAGAAGUUGGUUUUCACCUACUACCAGUUGUGAUGGGGCAUCUUCCAUGGGCUUGAGUCACUGUUUCUUUCUCAGUACUUUACUGUGACUAAAUAUCAUACAGGCACGCAUCCAGUGUUUUAUUAGACGGAGUCAUUGUGGGAUUAUUGUUAAGAGCUUCAGGUGAAUAUGUAGCCUUGAAACUUUUGUUUCCUCUGGUUUAAACAGUGUGCGUGUGGGCAACUCAGGGCACAGGUGCAAACCCAGUGAGUCUUUGCCACUGGGAUUGAGCAGGUUGUUGCCGACACUUCAGUAAUUAGAGGAUGGCUACCAGGAGCCAUGAAUACAGCCUGAGUCCUUCCUCAGUCCCUCCACCCCCGAAACCCAUCAGUUACACAGUGAGAGCUGCUUUUCUAACCAGUUCCAGUGGGUCUUUGACUCUGCUUAGCAUCUUCCCUGGGUCUUCCUUUCCACAGAAUUCAUUCUAGACUCUAGCCCAGCUCUCAAGACCCUCCCUCAUAUGUGCCCUGUUCAAUUUGUCAUCCUCCUUCCUCCUGUUUUUUUCCAGCAGGUUCUCUUAUUAUCUGCUGUAUUGAGCCAAAUUAAAUUAUUCCAAACACACUGUCACAUUCUAUUGCUGCACUAUGAGCUCCUGAAGUUGACUCUGCCCAGGAAGUUUCUUCUUUCCUCUCUGGCCUUUCAACAAGCUCUUACCUAGUCCGGACUGUCUCUCAUAGGUACAGCUAACUACUGCCUCUCUGCCUCCAGUCUCAGAUUUGUCUCUUUUCUGGCACUUAUCCUGUAUGGUUACAUGUCUCUCCCCCUAUUUGCUGCACAGCUGAUUGUUGGGGAACCCAGCUGUUAAGGUCUCAGCAGGGGCUUUCUGCCUGACCUACCUGGAAAGUGCCACCAAGCAAGGAUGCCUGACCUUAUUUGGAA